GGCUGGUCCGAGUGCAGUGGUGUUUACAACUAAUUGAUCACAACCAGUUACAGAUUUCUUUGUUCCUUCUCCACUCCCACUGCUUCACUUGCCUAGCCUUUA
rnacentral:Y_RNA from 1 species